rnacentral:lncRNA from 1 species
CGAUUAUUAUUUUUAUUUGUUAGGAUUUCGGUGAUUGAACAACAAUAUUAUGGAAUUAUUAUUUUAUGUUAUGCGGGAUUUAGAAGUACUGUUUGUUGUUCACCGAUUUAGAAGUGCAGGACAUGAGAGGGAGAUAAAACGAAUGUGCAGGACAAAUAACAUGAGCCCUUGGAUGUGUAAGAAAUGGAUGACUAUGAUUAAGUCUCUCCAUCCUCCACAAAAUUCAGUCUCCAUAGAACUUUUCUC